rnacentral:snRNA from 1 species
GUGCUCGCUUCAGCAGCACAUAUACUAAAAUUGGAA